rnacentral:rRNA from 1 species
GAUGAACGCUGGCGGCGUGCCUAAUACAUGCAAGUCGAGCGAACAGACGAGGAGCUUGCUCCUCUGACGUUAGCGGCGGACGGGUGAGUAACACGUGGAUAACCUACCUAUAAGACUGGGAUAACUUCGGGAAACCGGAGCUAAUACCGGAUAACAUGUUGAACCGCAUGGUUCAACAGUGAAAGACGGUCUUGCUGUCACUUAUAGAUGGAUCCGCGCCGCAUUAGCUAGUUGGUAAGGUAACGGCUUACCAAGGCAACGAUGCGUAGCCGACCUGAGAGGGUGAUCGGCCACACUGGAACUGAGCCACGGUCCAGACUCCUACGGGAGGCAGCAGUAGGGAAUCUUCCGCAAUGGGCGAAAGCCUGACGGAGCAACGCCGCGUGAGUGAAGAAGGUCUUCGGAUCGUAAAACUCUGUUAUUAGGGAAGAACAACUGUGUAAGUAACUAUGCACGUCUUGACGGUACCUAAUCAGAAAGCCACGGCUAACUACGUG